CGGGGCGUAGCGCAGCAUGGUAGCGCGCAGCGUUCGGGACGCUGAGGUCGUAGGUUCAAAUCCUAUCGCCCCGACCA
rnacentral:tRNA from 1 species